UACGGUGGGGGCAAGCGUUGUUCGGAAUUAUUGGGCGUAAAGAGCGUGUAGGCGGCUUUGCAGGUCCGUUGUGAAAACUCGAGGCUCAACCUCGAGACGCCGGUGGAAACCGUAAGGCUAGAGUCCGGAAGAGGAGAGUGGAAUUCCUGGUGUAGCGGUGAAAUGCGCAGAUAUCAGGAGGAACACCCGUGGCGAAAGCGGCUCUCUGGGACGGUACUGACGCUGAGACGCGAAAGCGUGGGGAGCAAACAGG
rnacentral:rRNA from 1 species